rnacentral:rRNA from 1 species
AUGGAUGGGAUCUUGACCUUGCAUGAAAUUUUGCAUCAUACUCAAGUCAAGAAAAAAACGGGGAUUGUCUUGAAACUUGACUUCGAGAAAGCUUACGACAAGGUUAACUGGGAUUCCUUGCUUGAAUGCCAUAAAAUGAGGGGAUUCAAUCCUAAAUGGUGCGAGUGGGUGGAAAAAAAAUCCUCCAUAACGACACAGUUAGUGUCAAAAUUAACAAUACCACGGGGCCUUACUUUUAGAGCCACAAAGGGGUUCGGCAAGGAGACCCAAUGUCUCCUUUUCUAUUCAAUCUUGCGGCUGAAAGCUUAA